GAUUCAUCUCUUUCAUCUCCUCUCCAUCUCUGAAGCUUCAUGUCUUCUCCUCUGAAGUUUCAUCUCCUCUCCAUCUCUGAAGAACUACGUGAUUAUAGAACUUCAUCUCUCUUUCACCUCUAAACCCACUGAAAUCAACAUCCACGGGUUUCAACUGUGGAUCUGCUUUUUUCGAUUCCAUGGAUUUUGAUUUUAAGGUUACAUCUGUGAAUCUGCUAUUAGAAAGCUUGAAAUUGUUCCAGUCAAUUUCAUUAUUGAAUCAUUUUUCUCAAGUAAAUUUGGUCAAACAAAUUUUAAGGAGAUUCAAUCAAAUUUCAGGCAGGUGCUAAUCCAAAUGGUGCACCAGAUGGAAUAAAAGUUGUUCCACUUGCUGCAGGGUAACACAAAUCAUCAAGUUGCUGGUCGAUGUUGGUGCAGAUUUAGAUGUUAAAAAUAUACAGUUGUCGGUAACCCUCAAGGUGUUGAUAUUCUUUUUCCUGUGACUUCUCAUAUUCCAUCGUAUGAUGACUGGGGAAUAAAUGGAACAAUCAAGCAUGUGGAAUCUAAGAAGUUCAAGAAAAAGGUAACUACUAAAUGCAAUAUGUAUAUUUUUUUUUAGGUUUUGAAUAGUAGGUUGCCAUUUUGGCACUAAAAUGACUUUAAUAUCUUUGCAAUGGCUAACUGUAAAUCAUCUAUUACUAAAAGUUCUGGUUCCAUAUUAGGUUUAUAGUUUUUGACUUCUGUUGGCAUUCAGAAGUUUCCAGCUUUCAUGUAGUGGAGCUCAUAAAUGUGUAGUUUGUAGAAACUUUUCAAUUAAAUUUGUUGUGUUACUCUUCAUUACUGACAGAUGAAUCGUAAUUCAGCAGAGUAUUAUUCUUAGGGUAAAAUCAAGGGGAAAAAAUGCAUUCCAGAAGGAGUAUUGGCUAGCGCUAUAUUGGUACUCGAAUGUACCUUUUCUUAACUGGAAAUACUGUAAAGUUUAACGUUUGAAUGGAUUUUACUUUAAUUGAUAUAGUUUUUAUGGAAGGUGAAAUAAGAAUGUGUACACCUUCCAAGCAUUAUUUAGUGACUUUUAUGCAUUUCAUAACUUUAUAUGUAAUACAAAUCGGAUGAUUUGGGAAUUGCAGGGUACAUCUACAUUUAUACUAGAAGUGUAGAUCUGUCGAAUCAUGAUCUAGGAACGUGACAGAGUACAAGCCAGUUCUUUUGAAUGGUGACUUAGCGGUUACUACGAGUCAUUUUUCCUUUUCUUUGUUGUGUUACUAUAAGUUAUGUGGAAUGCUUAAUGGGAAAGGAGUAUGAAACUGUCAUGAAUUUAUGAUUUCAAUGCUUGUAUUAUCUCUUGUUUGAACAUUUCAAGAUAGUUUCUUGCUUCUCCACAUGCUUGUGGUACAUCUAGAUGAAUGUUCAGAAGUACUCUAUUGUGCCAUAUCUUUCCAACUACACCAAAAGUCUGUAUAUGUAAGAUUAUAAUUAAUCCCACAAUUUUUUUACUGAGAA